UCGAGUUGAAAUAGGUGGCAGCGUUGGUGAGAGCGCAUGACGCCCGUGUGAUUUUGAUUCUCAACGACUGGAUUACGCGAAAUUGUUUACAAUUUCAAAACAAAAGGAAUCGGCGAAUUAUAUGUGUUGCGUAUGGCUUAGGUGUGCAAGUGAAAUGGAAUGCUUCUAACCACUCAUGUUGUUUGUUUUGGAAAUUACGCGUUGUAUUUUGUUAAUUAAAUGAAUCAAGUGUAUUUUUAUGUUAGUAAUAUAAAAUGAUAUUGUUUUAGAAAGUGAUAAGGUGAAAAAAUAUGCUUAAAGCAAGUGAUAACACUUCGGUAUCUCUAAAUGCUGUAAUUUCGUACAAACAAAAAAAUGAAAACGAAACGGAAAAGGUUUAUUGGCCGAAUAACACCAUGUUUGUAUCCCAAUUGAUCCAUAAUAUCCUUACGUUGAAAUGGGUGUGAUUGUGAUAGUAAACCAAUAUUUAUCACGAAUCGGAUUGUGGGACGAUUGGAAACACCGACUGUUCGAGCAGAAAUAAUGGAAGGAUCAAAACAUCACAUUCCCCGAUUCCGAAAGCACGAUACGAACAACAAUUCUUCUCGAAUGUUUUGAUACGUUAACGUAACCUGACGACGGCAACCAUAUCCACAAAAGCGGAAAGAAUUCGAAAAGACUCAUCAUCAUCACUUAAUCGAUGUGAAAUACUGUUGCGACAGAACAACGAACUUUUUUACGGUAUUUUGUGAUAGUAAUGUUCUGUGAUAGCUAUUAUUGAAAAAAGAUAAGCAUAACUGUUAAUAAAAUGAAAUUAAAUGUGGUAUUUUGCAUAAAUCUGGAACAGAA